CCUACGGGAGGCAGCAGUGGGGAAUAUUGCACAAUGGGGGAAACCCUGAUGCAGCGAUGCCGCGUGAGUGAAGAUGUCUCUCGGUACGUAAAGCUCUAUCAGCAGGGAAGAUAAUGACGGUACCUGACCCAGAAGCCCCUGCUAACUACGUGACAGCAGCCGCGGCACUACGGAGGGGGCAAGCGUUAUCCGGAUUUACUGGGUGUAAGGGGAGUGUAGACGGAAGGACAAGUCUGGAGUGAAAGCCCGGGGCUUAACCCCGGAACUGCCUUGGAAACUGGUCGGCUGGAGUGCAGGCGGGGUAGGCGGAAUGUCUAGUGUAGCGGUGAAAUGCGUAGAUAUUAGAAAGAACACCGAUGGCGAAGGCAGCUUACUAGACUGUAACUGACGUUGAGGCACGAAAGCGUGGGGAGCAAACAGGAUUAGAUACCCGGGUAGUC
rnacentral:rRNA from 1 species